AUGCAGAGGGGAGGGGCUGGCAGGAGGGUGGGCAUGGGGGGAGGCUGGGACCACGUCUGGGGAGAGCUGGGGGGGUGCAGGAGGUGGGAACAAGGGGCCAUCCCCAGUGUUUGCAGGCACCCUGUUACUGCUCUUUCUCUCUCUCUCCCUCCUUCCUUUUCUUUCUUUACAGCCCCUUUUCAAAGAUUCUGUCAUUCAUUCAUUCAUCAAACAUUAGCAUCUACUACGAGUGGGGAGACAGAAAUGCAUGCGUUCAUUCGUUCCUUCAACAUACUUUCAAGACAGCAAGAUACAAUCAGUUCCUCAGUUAUGUAUCAGGACAAAGAUGCAUUUCUCCUGCUGCGUUUUCUGAGUGGUGUAACUGCAGGACCCUACCCUGGCCUUCAGUCCUUCAGGGGAGGCUGCUGGGGAAGACUUGGGCCUGCCGUGGGAUCUGCCUGGCCUUCCCAGGAGAUCGUGAGCAUGUUGGUGGCUUUCUCUGGGCCACAGGUCUCAACCUACUGCACAGUUGUUUCAUCCUAUGGGAUUAAAUGUCGAGCAUAAUAAAUGUUGGUUUUGCCCUCUCCGCUCUCCAGCCUCAGCUCCUCUGAUCUGUGUGCUCUCACCACCUCGUAGGCCUGCGUGAUUCCUAUGUGCAUGCGGGCCUGUGUCUGCAGUCAUGGAAGUCAUUAAUUCCGUAGGCAUUUCUGAGUUUCCACUCUGUGCCGUUCUAGGCACAAUGAAAAGAAAUGGGUAGAGUCUUGCCCUUGCAAGUAUAAUGGGGGACAGACAAUAAACAUAUAAAUAAAUAACAUGACAGUUUGUGGUAAAUGCUGUAAAGAAAAACAAAGCAGGGUAAGGGGCAUGGGAAGUGCUAGAGUGGCGGGGGAUUUAUUCUCUCUCUCUCUCAAUCACCUGUUAUAAAUGAUAGUUUAUAGAAGGUGGUCAGGGAAGGCCUCAUGGCUAAGGUGACAUUUGAACAGGGAUCCAAAGUUAGGGAAGGAGGGAGCUCUGCACAUCGCUGGGAGAAGAAAAUUCCAGACUGGGGGAACAGCAAGUGCAAAGGUCCUGAGGUCAGUGCAUGUUUGGUGUGCAGGAGGAACAGCAAAGAGCCCCUUGUUGCUGAAGUGGAGUGAUGGGGUGUGAGUAGCAGGAGAUGGGGUCAGAGAAAAUAUGGAGGGGGGCAUCAGGGUUUGCUGGGUCUCCUUUGGGUUUUUACUGUGAGAUGGGUCCCCUACCCUGGAAGGGUUUGAACAGAACAAUGGCAUCAUCUAAUUUCUAUUUUAAAAGAUCACUGUGGCUAGCUAUUGUGUUCAAAAUAGGGGGAAGCUGGGGGCCCAUUUCAAUAAUGCAGACAAGAAGUGAGGGUGUCUUGGACCAAGGGGGAGCCGUGGAGGUGCCAAGAAGUGAAGCUGUGCCGUGGGCUACGUUGUGGGUCCGAGAGGGGAUGCCAGGGAAAGAGGAACCAAGCAUGGUCAUCAGGCCGCCUCAGUAAGGGGAAUGGUGAGGUUUCCUCUCCCCAAGCUGAAGGCAGCUGUGGGCAGAGCAGACAUGGAAUGUGUUCCAUUCAAAUGCCUCUUAGAUAUCCAGUAGCCACGUGGAACAGGCCAGGGCACCUAGAGUCAGGAGCCCAGGAUGGGGUGCCUGGCUGCAGGGGCGCAUCUG
ensembl:lincRNA